ACGUUCUUUCUACGUGUCAAGGUGAGUGGUAAUGUAGCCCUAAGCGCUUUACUCAGAUAUGUAGAACUCACUGUAAAGGACCAGGGGAUUGUUCACAAAACCACACCAGAUUAAUUCUCUUCUCUCCCAUAGACAUUCCCUGGAGUUAUGGGAAGUGCCAGCUUUUCUACUUCAAUGAUAAAACACCUCCAAGAUGGCACCCGGGACUGCAGCCAUACCUGCUCCCCACAAUGAGACAGAGACCUAUGUCCACUAGAAAGAUAAACAGCCAGUCUGGAUGUGCGCAGGUUUAGGUCCAAGGGGUUUUAAUUGUAACACUCAAUAUAACUUCUACUAACAGAGAUGCCACCUCACCCAGAGGCUCGUCCUGUUAGACUGAGUAGGAGUCUCUUUCAGUCCCCAUCAAAGCAAAGAAACUUACUCUACAAGCCCACUUUCUGGAAGGGCUGCUGUUACAAUGACUUCGAAAACCACUUCAGCUCUACAAGCUUCAGGUUGUGCUCCAUCCCAAGGAAAGGACAGCAAAUCCUAACCAUGUGAGGACUCCACACUGCAGAUCCAAGGAUAAUUAUCCCCACUAUAUCCCCCGGGAAGGAGAUAUGGAGACCACACGAACGUUGACAGUUGCUUUUCACGAUUCCACACACACACAAAAACGGAUGACUAUAAAAGCAUUUUAACGAAUUCGGAUCUGAAAAUUGUAUGCUGAGACUUUCAGCACUUCAAGGCUGGUGGAAUUCGGGCUGUGAAUUUCGUGAUGAUCUCCUGGGAAGAGCAGCUCCCGUAGUCACGGUGGCAUGAAAGAGGAAACAUGAAACAUACUAAGCCAUAUUAGGAUCCUCCCAAACCCAGGUGGCUGAAGG